GCUGGCGGCGUGCCUAAUACAUGCAAGUCGAGCGCAGGAAAUAAACAGAACCCUUCGGGGUGAUGUUUAUGGAAUGAGCGGCGGACGGGUGAGUAACACGUGGGCAACCUGCCUGUAAGAUCGGGAUAACUCGCGGAAACGUGAGCUAAUACCGGAUAACACUUUUCAUCUCAUGGUGAGAAGAUAAAAGACGGUUUCGGCUGUCACUUACAGAUGGGCCCGCGGCGCAUUAGCUAGUUGGUGAGGUAACGGCUCACCAAGGCGACGAUGCGUAGCCGACCUGAGAGGGUGAUCGGCCACACUGGGACUGAGACACGGCCCAGACUCCUACGGGAGGCAGCAGUAGGGAAUCUUCCGCAAUGGACGAAAGUCUGACGGAGCAACGCCGCGUGAGUGAUGAAGGUUUUCGGAUCGUAAAACUCUGUUGUUAGGGAAGAACAAGUUGGGUAGUAACUGACCCAACCUUGACGGUACCUAACCAGAAAGCCACGGCUAACUACGUGCCAGCAGCCGCGGUAAUACGUAGGUGGCAAGCGUUGUCCGGAAUUAUUGGGCGUAAAGCGCUCGCAGGCGGUCUUUUAAGUCUGAUGUGAAAGCCCACGGCUUAACCGUGGAGGGUCAUUGGAAACUGGAGGACUUGAGUACAGAAGAGGAGAGUGGAAUUCCACGUGUAGCGGUGAAAUGCGUAGAGAUGUGGAGGAACACCAGUGGCGAAGGCGACUCUCUGGUCUGUAACUGACGCUGAGGAGCGAAAGCGUGGGUAGCGAACAGGAUUAGAUACCCUGGUAGUCCACGCCGUAAAC
rnacentral:rRNA from 1 species